rnacentral:rRNA from 1 species
CACGCCGUAAACUAAUGCGCGUUAGGUGUACUGGUGACCACGAGUUACCGAGGUGCCGAAGGGAAACCGUGAAACGUGCCGCCUGGGAAGUACGGUCGCAAGGCUGAAACUUAAAGGAAUUGGCGGGGGAGCACCACAACAGGUGGAGCCUGCGGUUUAAUUGGACUCAACGCCGGGAAGCUCACCGGAUAGGACAGCAGAAUGAUUGCCGGGCUGAAGACCCUGCAUGACUAGCUGAGAGGAGGUGCAUGGCGUCAGUGACU